rnacentral:rRNA from 2 species
GCCACUGCUAUCGGGGUCCGACUAAGCCAUGCGAGUCAUGGGGCGCCUUGUGCGCACCGGCGGACGGCUCAGUAACACGUCGGUAACCUACCCUCGGGAGGGGGAUAACCCCGGGAAACUGGGGCUAAUCCCCCAUAGGCCUGAGGUACUGGAAGGUCCUCAGGCCGAAAGGGGCUCUGCCCGCCCGAGGAUGGGCCGGCGGCCGAUUAGGUAGUUGGUGGGGUAACGGCCCACCAAGCCGAAGAUCGGUACGGGCCAUGAGAGUGGGAGCCCGGAGAUGGACACUGAGACACGGGUCCAGGCCCUACGGGGCGCAGCAGGCGCGAAACCUCCGCAAUGCGGGCAACCGCGACGGGGGGACCCCCAGUGCCGUGGCAUCGCCACGGCUUUUCCGGAGUGUAAAGAGCUCCGGGAAUAAGGGCUGGGCAAGGCCGGUGGCAGCCGCCGCGGUAAUACCGGCGGCCCGAGUGGUGGCCGCUAUUAUUGGGCCUAAAGCGUCCGUAGCCGGGCCCGUAAGUCCCUGGCGAAAUCCCACGGCUCAACCGUGGGGCUUGCUGGGGAUACUGCGGGCCUUGGGACCGGGAGAGGCGGAGGGUACUCCUGGGGUAGGGGUGAAAUCCUAUAAUCCCAGGAGGACCGCCAGUGGCGAAGGCGCUCCGCUGGAACGGGUCCGACGGUGAGGGACGAAGGCCAGGGGAGCGAACCGGAUUAGAUACCCGGGUAGUCCUGGCUGUAAAGGAUGCGGGCUAGGUGUCGGGCGAGCUUCGAGCUCGCCCGGUGCCGAAGGGAAGCCGUUAAGCCCGCCGCCUGGGGAGUACGGCCGCAAGGCUGAAACUUAAAGGAAUUGGCGGGGGAGCACUACAAGGGGUGGAGCGUGCGGUUUAAUUGGAUUCAACGCCGGGAACCUCACCGGGGGCGACGGCAGGAUGAAGGCCAGGCUGAAGGUCUUGCCGGACACGCCGAGAGGAGGUGCAUGGCCGCCGUCAGCUCGUACCGUGAGGCGUCCACUUAAGUGUGGUAACGAGCGAGACCCGCGCCCCCAGUUGCCAGUCCUCCCCGCUGGGGGGGGAGGCACUCUGGGGGGACCGCCGGCGAUAAGCCGGAGGAAGGAGCGGGCGACGGUAGGUCAGUAUGCCCCGAAACCCCCGGGCUACACGCGCGCUACAAUGAGCGGGACAAUGGGAUCCGACCCCGAAAGGGGAAGGUAAUCCCCUAAACCCGCUCCCAGUUCGGAUCGCGGGCUGCAACUCGCCCGCGUGAAGCUGGAAUCCCUAGUACCCGCGUGUCAUCAUCGCGCGGCGAAUACGUCCCUGCUCCUUGCACACACCGCCCGUCACUCCACCCGAGCGGGGUCUGGAUGAGGCCUGAUCUCCCUUCGGGGAGGCCGGGUCGAGUCUGGGCUGCGUGAGGGGGG